rnacentral:rRNA from 1 species
GAAUGGCGGCGUGCUUACCAUGCAAGUCGAACGAUGAUCCCCAGCUUGCUGGGGGGAUUAGUGGCGAACGGGUGAGUAACACGUGAGUAACCUGCCCUUGACUCUGGGAUAAGCCUGGGAAACUGGGUCUAAUACCGGAUAUGACUCCUCAUCGCAUGGUGGGGGGUGGAAAGCUUUUGCGGUUUUGGAUGGACUCGCGGCCUAUCAGCUUGUUGGUGAGGUAAUGGCUUACCAAGGCGACGACGGGUAGCCGGCCUGAGAGGGUGACCGGCCACACUGGGACUGAGACACGGCCCAGACUCCUACGGGAGGCAGCAGUGGGGAAUAUUGCACAAUGGGCGCAAGCCUGAUGCAGCGACGCCGCGUGAGGGAUGACGGCCUUCGGGUUGUAAACCUCUUUCAGUAGGGAAGAAGCGAAAGUGACGGUACCUGCAGAAGAAGCGCCGGCUAACUACGUGCCAGCAGCCGCGGUAAUACGUAGGGCGCAAGCGUUAUCCGGAAUUAUUGGGCGUAAAGAGCUCGUAGGCGGUUUGUCGCGUCUGCCGUGAAAGUCCGGGGCUCAACUCCGGAUCUGCGGUGGGUACGGGCAGACUAGAGUGAUGUAGGGGAGACUGGAAUUCCUGGUGUAGCGGUGAAAUGCGCAGAUAUCAGGAGGAACACCGAUGGCGAAGGCAGGUCUCUGGGCAUUAACUGACGCUGAGGAGCGAAAGCAUGGGGAGCGAACAGGAUUAGAUACCCUGGUAGUCCAUGCCGUAAACGUUGGGCACUAGGUGUGGGGGA